rnacentral:tmRNA from 1 species
GGGGGUGCACCGGUUUCGACGGACGUGUUGAGAUCUUGAACUGCAAGUGAGGUUGCCUGUCCUCUGAACAGACAAAAACUAUAGUUGCCAAAAAAGAAGAAGACAACUACGAAGAAUACGCACUCGCUGCGUAAUUCGCAGGAUUCAGUCUGCUCCGCUCUGCGCGGAUUGAAAUCCUGACGCUAAUCAGAGCUUGCCUGAUGCGGUGUCCGGUACACAUCAGGGACUUUUACCGGAAUACGGAGACGACGCUUGUAAUGCUGCUACCGGCUCCCGACAACCACCUCGCAUUACUAAACUUGUAGACGUUCCUGGUACGCACGCUCGGACGGGGGUUCAACUCCCCCCACCUCCACUA